rnacentral:rRNA from 1 species
UACGUAGGGGGCAAGCGUUGUCCGGAAUUACUGGGCGUAAAGGGCGCGUAGGCGGCCUUCUAAGUCGGACGUGAAAUCCCUCGGCUCAACCGAGGAACUGCGUCUGAUACUGGAAGGCUUGAAUCCGGGAGAGGGAUGUGGAAUUCCAGGUGUAGCGGUGAAAUGCGUAGAUAUCUGGAGGAGCACCAGUGGCGAAGGCGGCAUCCUGGACCGGCAUUGACGCUGAGGAGCGAAAGCCAGGGGAGCAAACGGG